rnacentral:rRNA from 1 species
UCGAGCGAACGGACGAGAAGCUUGCUUCUCUGAUGUUAGCGGCGGACGGGUGAGUAACACGUGGAUAACCUACCUAUAAGACUGGGAUAACUUCGGGAAACCGGAGCUAAUACCGGAUAAUAUUUUGAACCGCAUGGUUCAUAAGUGAAAGACGGUCUUGCUGUCACUUAUAGAUGGAUCCGCGCUGCAUUAGCUAGUUGGUAAGGUAACGGCUUACCAAGGCAACGAUGCAUAGCCGACCUGAGAGGGUGAUCGGCCACACUGGAACUGAGACACGGUCCAGACUCCUACGGGAGGCAGCAGUAGGGAAUCUUCCGCAAUGGGCGAAAGCCUGACGGAGCAACGCCGCGUGAGUGAUGAAGGUCUUCGGAUCGUAAAACUCUGUUAUUAGGGAAGAACAUAUGUGUAAGUAACUGUGCACAUCUUGACGGUACCUAAUCAGAAAGCCACGGCUAACUACGUGCCAGCAGCCGCGGUAAUACGUAGGUGGCAAGCGUUAUCCGGAAUUAUUGGGCGUAAAGCGCGCGUAGGCGGUUUUUUAAGUCUGAUGUGAAAGCCCACGGCUCAACCGUGGAGGGUCAUUGGAAACUGGAAAACUUGAGUGCAGAAGAGGAAAGUGGAAUUCCAUGUGUAGCGGUGAAAUGCGCAGAGAUAUGGAGGAACACCAGUGGCGAAGGCGACUUUCUGGUCUGUAACUGACGCUGAUGUGCGAAAGCGUGGGGAUCAAACAGGAUUAGAUACCCUGGUAGUCCACGCCGUA